CACCUGACCACCUUGUUCCUCGCACUCUCAUCAUCCUCAGUAAUACUGCUUCCAUCUCUGCUCGGCUCCCAAGGACGAUAGCAAACACAACUUCUGCCCAUUAAUGAUGGAUAACAAGCCAGAGGAAUGUUCAGUGUGUUUUAACGAUUAUGAUGACAAUCAGCUACGGCCUCGCAAUCUGCCGUGCGGCCACACAUUCUGCUCCCAGUGUAUUGAC